GUCACGGGCGGGCCCGCCCUCAGCGGAGCGCGGGGAGGCGGGACCGGGGAGCCGGGCGGCGGCGGGCGGCGGAAGGGCUUGGAAUGUGCUGCCACACAGAGGCAGAGUUGAGGCUGCUUCUAAAGGGAAAGAGUGAAGGAAGAAAAUCCUUUUUGGUUAGAAAUUACCUGGAUUUCCUGCUGAGGACACCUCAUCGUCUAUCAGGGCUUUUUCCUUAUCCAAGAACUCGUGGUUUAGGUUGUUUUCCUAAGCACCUUUACAUGUCCUGAGGAUGAGCUGAGCACUAAACCAGAUGAACGAGCUGCAGGAGCCCAACUCUUGCCCACAUGGGGCUGACCUUUUGAAGGGCCACUUGAAGAGAGCAGAGGUUUGGCCAAGUGAUGAUUCCAAGCUCUGCAGUCCCUGGAUCAGUCCCAGGAAUCCAGCACCUCCUGCACAGACAUGGCUCAUGCUGCCUCUUCUGCUUCCUCCUCGCCUGGCUGCUGGCUGCAGUGAGAUAAGUCAGGUUUAAUCACUCCCAAGUCUUAUUCAUAUUGUUAUUCAGUGUUUGUGGGGUUGCAGCAGCAAUUUUGUGCAGAUCAGUAAUUCCUGAACACCUUAGAAGUGUUGAUUUCACCAUGUUCAUAAUAGAACUAUAGAAUCAUAAAAUCAUGGAGUGGUUUGGGUUGGAAGGGACCUUAAAAACCAUCUCAUUCCACCCCUGCCAUGGACUGGGACACCUUCCACUGGACCAGGUUGCUCCAAACCCCAUCCAGCCUGGCCUUAAACAGGUAUGAGAUGGCAGGGGGGUGGUU